rnacentral:rRNA from 1 species
CAGUCGCCGCGGUAAUACGAAGGGGGCUAGCGUUGCUCGGAAUUACUGGGCGUAAAGGGCGCGUAGGCGGACAGUUCAGUCAGGGGUGAAAGCCCGGGGCUCAACCUCGGAAUUGCCUUUGAUACUGGCUGUCUUGAGUACGGGAGAGGCGUGUGGAACUCCGAGUGUAGAGGUGAAAUUCGUAGAUAUUCGGAAGAACACCAGUGGCGAAGGCGACGCACUGGCCCGUUACUGACGCUGAUGCGCGAAAGCGUGGGGAGCAAACAGGAUUAGAUACCCCGGUAGUCCCUGUCUCUUAUAC